AAGUCCAGCUUCUGAUUAGGUAUAUGCGAGGUUUGUUUUGCAAGACCACAAUGGCAUGGGGUAUGGUUAAUGUCUUCCUCCCCUUGCAACGGUCACAAUACAAAGAAUUGGACGUGGGUUCACAAUGAGCUAAGAAGGAUCUACAAGAAAACCUAUUCGGACAAAUCUUCCACCAGAAUUUUUGCAUCCUUGGAGCAUUUCCACAGCCACUUAAAAGCAAUACCAUCAUUCAUGGGAUAGGAAGGAGAGGUAAUGAAGUCAUCCAACCUGAUUCUAGAAUAUUUGACUGGACCCACACGAAGCAAUUAGCAGGGAUUGGAUUGGAAGUAAUGGCAUCAACCAUCUCCAUAGCAAACAGCGAACAAAAUCUCAUUCUCUGUUUCUAGUCAGUAGAUUCGCCACAGCAGGAUGUUCAUCAAACAGUUUCACAUUAAACAUCAAAGGCGAUCUAUCUAGUGGAAUAUUAGAUAACAAUGGGCUUCACAACAAAGUAAUGGACUCAGCAUUACCAAAAAUCAGCGAAUGGCGUUAGAGAGAAAGGAUACACUAUGGCAGAUAUUUUCCCUAAUCCGAGUCAGGUGGUAGCCUACCCAAUCGCCUUUGAAGUUAUAUUUGCAAGAGACCACUGUAUGCCAUGGAGAAUUCGGGUGAAGGAUUAGAUUUCCAGCAUCUUGUGCCAUGAACUCAUCUAAGCUGGGUAAUGACCAAUCCAUCAUGGAUCCGGGUGCUA
rnacentral:lncRNA from 1 species